rnacentral:rRNA from 1 species
AGUGAACGCUGGCGGUAGGCCUAACACAUGCAAGUCGAACGGCAGCACAGUAAGAGCUUGCUCCUACGGGUGGCGAGUGGCGGACGGGUGAGGAAUACAUCGGAAUCUACUUUUUCGUGGGGGAUAACGUAGGGAAACUUACGCUAAUACCGCAUACGACCUACGGGUGAAAGCAGGGGAUCUUCGGACCUUGCGCGAUUGAAUGAGCCGAUGUCGGAUUAGCUAGUUGGCGGGGUAAAGGCCCACCAAGGCGACGAUCCGUAGCUGGUCUGAGAGGAUGAUCAGCCACACUGGAACUGAGACACGGUCCAGACUCCUACGGGAGGCAGCAGUGGGGAAUAUUGGACAAUGGGCGCAAGCCUGAUCCAGCCAUACCGCGUGGGUGAAGAAGGCCUUCGGGUUGUAAAGCCCUUUGUUGGGAAAGAAAAGCAGCAGGUUAAUACCCCGCUGUUCUGACGGUACCCAAAGAAUAAGCACCGGCUAACUUCGUG